rnacentral:rRNA from 1 species
UACGGAGGGUCCAAGCGUUAUCCGGAAUCAUUGGGUUUAAAGGGUCCGUAGGCGGUUUUGUAAGUCAGUGGUGAAAGCCCAUCGCUCAACGGUGGAACGGCCAUUGAUACUGCAAGACUUGAAUUAUUAGGAAGUAACUAGAAUAUGUAGUGUAGCGGUGAAAUGCUUAGAUAUUACAUGGAAUACCAAUUGCGAAGGCAGGUUACUACUAAUGGAUUGACGCUGAUGGACGAAAGCGUGGGUAGCGAACAGG